CAAAAGCUGCUGGGAUAUCUUUUAGCCGCCAUCUUUGUACAAGUUGUUUGAAGGUUGACGAUGUGGUGGGAAAUUAUACCCCCGUUUGCCAUUAUGGUUGGAUGCAUCACGUUUACAGGUGUAGGGAUGAAGCUMUUAGAUAAAGCAUUUCACAAUGGAAAGCCCAAAAGGUAUAAUGUUGAUGAUUUUGCAAGAAGAUUGAUGGAUAGAGAUAAAGAAAUUACUGGYAAUGAAUAUGUACAAAAGGGAUUAUAAUAAUGUUAGCAGAAUACAUUAUGGUGGUGGCAGUGUACUAGUGCAAGGAUUAUUACUGUGUGAACUGAAUUCAUUGAUGAGAUCUGUUUUAUAUUUGUAAAUAAAUAUUUGGAAUCCAGUAUUGCCUUUGUCAGACAUAGAAACAUUUUUGGUGUUGACUUCAUUGAUAACCAAAGAAUUUCAUUGCUUCUUCUAAGUUAAAAUUCUGAUUAAAAGUUGUGGUUUGGAAGUCUCCUCUCAAAGGAA